UACGUAGGUGGCGAGCGUUAUCCGGAAUUAUUGGGCGUAAAGAGCGCGCAGGUGGUUGAUUAAGUCUGAUGUGAAAGCCCACGGCUUAACCGUGGAGGGUCAUUGGAAACUGGUCGACUUGAGUGCAGGAGAGGAGAGUGGAAUUCCUAGUGUAGCGGUGAAAUGCGUAGAUAUUAGGAGGAACACCAGUAGCGAAGGCGGCUCUCUGGACUGUAACUGACGCUGAGGCGCGAAAGCUAGGGUAGCGAACGGGAUUAGAUACCCGGGUAGU
rnacentral:rRNA from 1 species